UUGUAGAUAAGGAGUCGGACCUGCCCGGUGAGUUCAUUUAACGGCCGCGGUACCCUGACCGUGCGAAGGUAGCAUAAUAAUUUGCCUUAUAAUUGGAGGCUUGUAUGAAUGGUUUGACUUGAGCAAAUCUGUCUCUUUAUAAUUUUGUAGAAUUUUAUUUUUAGGUGAAGAAGCCUGGAUAUAAUUAAUAGACAAGAAGACCCUAUCGAGCUUUAAAGAAAUUAGUAGGGUUAAAGUGUUAGAUAUAUAUGUAGAAAAUUUAACUACUAAAAAUUUUGGUUGGGGCGACUGAGGAACAAGUAGAGCUUCCUAGGUUUAAAAUACUUUCGUGUGUUGAUCCAAAUUUUUUGAUUAAAGGAAUUAGUUACCGUAGGGAUAACAGCAUUAUCUUCUUUGAGAGUUCUUAUCGAAAAGGGGGUUUGUGACCUCGAUGUUGGACCAGAAUGUCCUAAAGAUGCAGAAGUCUUUGAGGGUUGGUCUGUUCGACCAUUAAAAUUCUACGUGAUCUGAGUUCAGACCGGCGUGAGCCAGGUCAGUUUCUAUCUUUAAUUUUUCUAUGCAAGCUUAGUACGAAAGGACCAGGUUGUAGUAUUAUAUGUUAUAGGUGAAGUAAUAUAAUUGGCGGUUGUCAAAUUAGUAGAUAUUAAUGCAAUUGAUUUAGGAUCAGUAGAUAUAGGUGAAAGUCCUUUAUUUGACAUAGUAAGGAUGGCAGAUUAGUGCAUUAGGUUU
rnacentral:rRNA from 1 species